rnacentral:rRNA from 1 species
GAUGAACGCUGGCGGCGUGCCUAAUACAUGCAAGUCGAGCGAACAGACGAGGAGCUUGCUCCUCUGACGUUAGCGGCGGACGGGUGAGUAACACGUGGAUAACCUACCUAUAAGACUGGGAUAACUUCGGGAAACCGGAGCUAAUACCGGAUAAUAUAUUGAACCGCAUGGUUCAAUAGUGAAAGACGGUUUUGCUGUCACUUAUAGAUGGAUCCGCGCCGCAUUAGCUAGUUGGUAAGGUAACGGCUUACCAAGGCGACGAUGCGUAGCCGACCUGAGAGGGGGAUCGGCCACACUGGAACUGAGACACGGUCCAGACUCCUACGGGAGGCAGCAGUAGGGAAUCUUCCGCAAGGGGCGAAAGCCUGACGGAGCAACGCCGCGUGAGUGAUGAAGGUCUUCGGAUCGUAAAACUCUGUUAUUAGGGAAGAACAAAUGUGUAAGUAACUAUGCACGUCUGGACGGUACCUAAUCAGAAAGCCACGGCUAACUACGU